GACGAACGCUGGCGGCGUGCUUAACACAUGCAAGUCGAACGGUGAACCGGGCUUCGGCCCGGGGAUCAGUGGCGAACGGGUGCGUAACACGUGGGCAACCUGCCCCAGACACUGGGAUAACCCCGGGAAACCGGGGCUAAUACCGGAUACUCCGCUCGGACCGCAUGGUCCGAUCGGGAAAGCUCCGACGGUCUGGGAUGGGCCCGCGGCCUAUCAGCUUGUUGGUGGGGUAACGGCCUACCAAGGCGACGACGGGUAGCUGGUCUGAGAGGACGACCAGCCACACUGGAACUGAGAUACGGUCCAGACUCCUACGGGAGGCGGCAGUGGGGAAUCUUGCACAAUGGGCGAAAGCCUGAUGCAGCGACGCCGCGUGGGGGAUGAAGGCCCUCGGGUUGUAAACCCCUUUCGGCAGGGAAGAAGCGCAAGUGACGGUACCUGCAGAAGAAGCUCCGGCUAACUACGUGCCAGCCGCCGCGGUAAGAC
rnacentral:rRNA from 1 species